UGCUGUGAAGAGGGCGGAGGGGCGGGGGCGAGGGCGGCGCAGGCGGAAGGACUAGCCGGGAAGAGCGGAAAAAUCGGCCGAUGGUGCCGCUGCCUCAGUUCUGCCCGCUUCUGUAGCCUCCUUGCUGGGUACAGCGGAGCAGAAAGAGCCUUAGUGUUCCCUCCCAAUCCCCCAGUAAGAAGCUAGCGCUGAAACGUGGGAGGCGUGGUAGCCACCGACAUUUAAUGCCUCUCUCCCGCUCGAUUUCUGAAGGUUCUGCGGCCUGGAGACGGCAUCGCGGGCACGCUUCAACUGUAGGGGACGGUAUUCUGAACAGGCAAGAGCCUGUGACUCGGGGGUGGUCCCUCCGCACCUUCAGAUGAGAAGCUGAAGACGUACAGCUCCAGCCUGACGUCCGUGGGGGGUACACCAAAGCCCCCGAUGUGGCCAGAGGUAACCCAAUAGGCUCCCCCGUUACGCCAGAUUAUCCCUGGAGAAUUCACUCUCCACCACGUGAAAGGAAGAGACGAAAAGUUUGGGGACUCGAUAUAAGUCGGGAAGCAGCAGCUGGUCAGCUCUUUGCAUGCUUUGAGUCUAAUUACACAGAGCACAAAUCCAUUGCCCAUGAAGAAAAGGAACACUAGAAUGAGCCCUCUGAAAAAACCCAGGUGGUUGCCUUGACUCCUCACCUCUGAUUUACCCGCCUUCUCUGCUUCCUAAAGCUAAACAAAGUAUCACUAUGUCCUAGAAGAUGAAGCUCGCCAGGAAGCUGAAGUAACAAGAUCAACUCCUGCACCUCCACUGGCCAGUAAGGGAAUAAAAAGAGACCACAAAGACAGAAUUAGAGACACCAGCAUAGGAGAGAUCAACCGUUUUGGAAAACAGCAAGUGGAUAGAGAAGUGACAAUUAAUGUGGCAGAACAGAGAAAGCUGAAGCCCAAGUUCUAGGGUGGGGAAAGGCAGCAGGCUGAUUCCCACUCAACUCUCAUCGGCUGGGAAGUGAGGCACGUGACCCUCUGCACCAGGAGAGACUGAAAACACAGAACAGCUGUGAGUCCUGCAAAGGCGCAUUUGAGCCCACAGAUCUGCCUCACUCCGUGAAGCCAGGUCCCCACCCCACUGGCACCCUGAAAGAAGACCAGAGUGAAAGGUUAUUCCUGAGUUUAAACUUGACCUCAGGGACACCACAAAAACAUAAAGGCAAAGAGUAAAUUCUGUAGAACUGGAAGCAAGCUGAGGAAGUCAUCCAAAAAGAUAAUGCCCUUGAGCAAAGCAAAUUAGAAUAUCAAUGUGGAGGUUUGAUAUCCAAUUGGGUGUUUCAAGAAAAACAACGGCAGUGAAGAAGAAAUGAUCAAAUAAUUCUAGCAAACAUUCCACGCCCUGACUGUGCAUUUCCAGAUGGAAACGACCAGAAAUGCCCAGAACAAUGAAUGAAAAAAGACACAUUACCAUUACAGAAACAACAAUUUAAAAACCUUCCUAUAGAAGCACCACACCAGACAGGUUUACCGUCACGUUCUACCAAACAUUCCAGGAACAAGAAAUCCUGACCUUAAAACUAUUGCAGAGUUGGUUUCUUCUGAGGCCUCUCUCCUUAGCCUACAGACAGCUGCCUCCUCCCUGUGUCCUCACGUGGUCGUUCCUCCCCGUUCCGCCCGUGAUGUCCCUAGCUCUCUCUGCAUCCUAAUCUCCUCUCCUUAUAAGGGCUCCAGUCAGAUUGGCUUAGGACCUCCCCUAACGACCUCAUUUUAACUUAAUCACCUCUUUAAAGGCCCUGUCUCCAUAUACAACUACUUUCUGAAGUACUGGGAGUUAAGGCUUGAACAUACGAAUUUGGAGGUGGGAGCACUUCAGCCCAUAACAACAUUCAUAGUUGGCAAUCUAAGAAGAAAAGGGAAUUUCUUCAGAUUGAUGAAGAAUAUCUACCAAAAAACGUAGAGCACACAUAUUCAAUGGUGAGACAUUUAAAAGCCUUUGCUUUAAAGUCAGAAACAAGACAAGGAAUGCCAACUCUCACUGCUUCUAUUCUACGCUGUACAGAAGAUCCUGGACAGCAGAAUCAGAGAAAGAAUAUAAACAACAAAGAUGGAAAGGAAGAAACAACUCUUCUGCAGAUUGUGGUUGUGUGUGUCAAACGAAUCUAAAUAUCAGUUAUUAAAAUGAAAAUAAAAUAAAAUCUUGUUAAUCCUUAAAAAUCAAUGUAAAAUUAAUUGUAUUUCUAGUUACUUAGCAACAAAGUUAGGAAAU